GGUAAGAGAGAGAGAGAGAGAGUUCCCCGGGGAAACUGUGACGCCUGUGUUUCCUGGCGACGUAAUUGGAAGGGUUGGCACGCCUAGCCGCCUGGGGGCGCGUGUGACCUUGGCAUUGAAUCUAGAGGGGAGGUGCCAACGACCAUGAUAACUACCCACUUCUGCCCCAAACACCACCCACUUGCCCAGUUUCCCGCCCUCCUCCUCACACCCGCUGGCCACCGUCUUUCCCGGGCCACUCCUCCUGCAAGCCGGCAGCGUUGCCUGCCGCUGCAAAUGUUGCAUAAACGGAGCGUGGCUACAGCGGCCGACAUGUGGUUGAGAAUAUUACAUGAGGCGGCGUUGCCACGUUGUCGCCACAUGGGCCGCUCUGACACUUGCUGGAUGCCAUUAUCCACACCCAGAAUGACAAUAGUGGUUACACAACACUGAGGAACUCAAGUUAGUGGUACCGUGAGAGGUCUAGAGCAACGAGGCACCGUUGUCAGCCUUAAGGAGAAGUUCCCUAGGCUGGGAAGGUCCGUGAGCCGCUCGUGCAGUACUCUAAAACAGUCCCAGGAUAAAGGCAGGAAAGGUGGGAGCCUAAAGAUAAGCAAUAAUCGAUACCCGAAGUGUGUGGGUAGUGUAGCAUGGCGUGUGGCGGCGGGAGGCUGGCUCUCUCCCUGCCCCAGCUGAUGGCCAGCCUUGAACACUCACAAAGGUGCUCGAGUAUUAGCAGUGAGUGGUAGACGGCCACAGCGCAAGGAGUCGCCUCCUCCUCCUCCUCCUCCCUCAUAACCCUCUUCUCAUUUCUCUACUGGCAGUAGUGGCUCAUAACCCUCCUCCCUGUGUGUGAGUGUCUCCAACACUAAACACCUUCAGAAAAACACGAGCGCCUCUCACUUAAAAAGUGAACUUGAGAAAAACUGUGCGUGGCGGAGGCGGUGUGGUGGUGGUGGUGGUGGUGGUCCAUGUGUGUUGCACGGCUGGCCACAGCAGCUGCCUUCAGGAGGUGUGUAUGAUGAGCGGUGGGGGCACGGUCGAGGGUGGGCCAGGGGUGGGCCACAUCAAGCAGGAGGACGGUGGCUACGGUGGCCCACCCACCACCACACACCACCACACGAGGCCCAGGCAGAUAUCAUCAUGUUCGUCUCCUUCUACCACCGCCAUCGCCUCGGAGGUAAGUGCUCUACCAACACUUGUAACCCAGUUCCUUCCUGUUCUCUUUCUUUUGUUUUUAGUGGAGACUAGAGGUCAUUAGGGCUGGCAGUUGUGGUGUCUAGUGAAACUGCUAACAAGCGCUGUUAUCCUUCCUUAGCUCAUCUGAAGUCUGUCCCUAGAGACUCGUUCAUUUCAGUCAUUAGCAAUAAGUUUUAUUUAAAUCUAAGUAACAAUGAUAUAAGGAAGAGGAUGAGCGUGUAGCCAACUAUGUGUCAGAGCCUUCAUGUGAUCAGUUGACCUGAUCUCCCGUGUAUCAACCUGUUGGGCCAACAAGUUCCUGAUGCCAGUCAGCCUCGGAGUGAAUGGUCGCUGAUGGAGUGAUGUUCUUGAGAAAGGCACUUCCAGCAAGUACUGUUGAAGAUUGUGAGCCUAGUGCUACGGGAAUCAACUACUGGUUGUCCACGGAGUUGGGCCAGGUGCGGAACUUUGAGAAUGUUGACCUUGUACACAACAGUAAGACCACGAACAUGACGACGGUGUUGCAGGCUCUGAUGCUCAGACCGUUCCCACCAGACUUGGUCAAGACUAGAGAUGAGCCUUCAUGCACGACUCUCCACUUUGUCCAACAGCCUGAUGAAUGACGGAGGCGGUCCAGGAAAAGUGUGCAUAAUCUAGAUGAGAGUGACCUUACACUUCGUAUAAGGCUUUGCGGCCCCUGUUGUCAAGAUGUGAUAUACUUACUGUAGGGCUGUAAGUUUCCUGUCCGCCUUUUGGGCUAGGUUAAGCACGUGGCUCUUCGUUGUCCUUGAAGAGUCCAACUUCAUUAACAAUUUUUUUUUUUAUUAACAUAUUAGGAACAUCUGCAUUAGUGCAGCUGCCCUAGACUAUAUGAAGUGGAGUACAGUGUGUCAAAAAGAAGCUAACUAGGUGAUGCUAAGAAAUCCCCAUCACACAGGAUGGUUAGUCAUACAGACAAAAAUGUCAGUUUCAUGUGUGAACUCUAGGGGUUUUGGCGCCCAUUUGCAAGUCUGUGUCUGAUUUGCAAUGUGCAGCCUAGUUAUGAUCAUCGCUGGUGUUUCCUCAGCCACACAUGUCACCUGUCAUCUCCUGCUCCAGGUAGACUUCGCUAAUAGUUUGUGACUGAUGAGUCUUGCAGCGGUUGGCAUUUUUUUCCUUUCUGUUUGAAA